GGGAGCCAUGAGGGCUCAAGGGAAGGUGUCCUGACAAAAGAGAGAGGGCAGAACAUUUCUGAAAGCUAAUGGGAAGGGUCCGGGAAGGGGACAGACUGAAGACGUGGGAGAUCUUGAGCCCUUCAGGGGCUGAGGUUGAAUCUGGUACAACAUCUCUGCCUGUAUCUGGUGCCCAGCCUAGAAGCUGGUGUAGAUGAGGGGCCAGGAAAGGGAUGGAGGAUCCUGCAGCAUGGCCUGGGAAUUCAGGACUUCAACGACAAUGAAGAAGAAAUACUGCCAAGAGCUGAGGUACCACUGGCAUCACUUGGGCCUGUGCCAUUCUGCCCACAUCCCCUUGGAAGUACAGAAUGGAGUACAGAAUCCCCCUCCUAUCUGGACUAGGCAGGGAGUUGAGGUGUGAUGAGGCCUUGCCAGCCGCUCUUCAUGGUGGGAAUACAUUCAAAUCCAGCCUCACCUGGAUAUCCCCCAGUGCCUUUUACCACCCGCUGUGAGUCUGAGGCCUCCCCAGCCAUGAGGAACUGUAAGUCCAAUUAAACUUCUUUUUCUUUCCAGUCUUGGGUAUGUCUUUAUCAGCAGCAUGAAAACCGACUAAUACACCAGGUUCAAGGUGAUGCUGUUCUCAUUCCACAAAUACAGUGUUGGCUGAAUCAGUCAGCAGGAUGCCUGGUCCUCCCCAGCCGCAGCUGAGCCUAGAGUCUAUCUCCUCAUUCGAUCAAAUUUGGGGGAAGGCCAGAGUGAAUCUACCUCCCAUUUACAGACAUAAACUUACUCAUUAACUCCUCACAGUAACUCUAUGAGAUAGGCAUUACCCCUACUUUGUAGAUGCCAAAAUUAAGGCCUAGUGAGAAUUAAUGAAAAUUACCUAAAUAUCUGAAUAUAGGGGACUGCUUUCAGUGAAUUGCUACAUUAUUCCUUUCAAGAACAUGUGGUGAUACAAACUAACUGUUGGCAAAGCGUUGCCAAGCACUGGUCCUGCUGGAUCCCCAUUAACUGGAGAAAUAAGGCUUAUCUGCAAUUAGCUCAUUCAUUGUAUGCAAAUGAUACUAAUAGCUUGAAAACAGUGUGUUCUCUUAAGUAGGUUAAACAUUCCCUUCUGAAAUCUUGUUUAUACUAUUUGAGCAACAAACUCUUCUUUUUUUCUUUCUUUUUUUGAGACAGAGUCUCCUUCUGUUGCCCAGGCUGGAGUGCAGUGGCGUGAACUUGGCUCACUGCAACCUCCGCCUCCCGGAUUCAAGCGAUUCUCCUGCCUCAGGCUCCCCCGUAGCGACUAAAGGCAUGCACCACCACACCCAGCUAAUUUUUUAUUUUUAGUACAGACAGGGUUUCAUUAUGCUGGCCAGGCUGGUCUUGAACUCCUGACCUCAGGUGAUCCACCCACCUCAGCCCCCUCAAAGUGCUGGGAUUACAGGCAUGAGCCACCGUGCCUGGCCCAAACUCUUCUUUUAUGGAGCAAGACAAACUCAGCCAGACCAGGCUGGGAGAAGGAUUACAAAUUGUCACUCAUUUGAGAUGAGACAUGGAGGUGUUGACAAGUGCUUGCCAACCUCACUAAUGGGAACCCAUGGAACAGAGGGCCAGCAAGAUUCAGCAUCACCUGAAUUAUUAAGCAUUUGUUGAGAGAUGAAAAUGGCUUCUUUUCUACCACCUGGAGAAACUCAAACUUUUUGCCAACGAAGUCUUGCCAACUGGAUGUCCUGCUGGGCCUACUUUAAUGAACAGAUAAGACUCCAUUUUAAUUAGCACACUAAUUGUUUCCAUGCAAAUGAAUGUGGGGAAAGAUCUUGCAAACAGUUUAUUUCCUUAAGUGGGUUACCAUGGUGCCCCCUGUAGCCCUGUGUAGGGGGCUCAAUUGCACAGCCAACUGUUUUGUUCAUUGAAGAGCACAAAUCCAGCUCAUCAAGCAUCUCCUGAACACAGCCCCUGUGCUGGGCUCUGUGCAAGAGUUGGGGAAUAAACCACACCCAGACCCUAUCUUCUAGGAGCCCACUGUAGAAGUCAAAGGUGAGAGUUGCUAAACUCUGUUGGGUAGAGCUCCUGGUUGUAAGCAACAGAAAUAAAUUCAGGAUAAUUGAUACAAAACAGAUGUAUUGGAGAGGUUAGGGGCAGAGGCAGGCCGGGCAGCAGGAGCCAUCUGGUAGGUACGCUGCCACUACUCAGACUCACCUCUGCCUGCCCCUGUGUCCUUGUGGCAUCAAGGCCAUUGCCUCUUGCCCGGAUGACCUCUGUAUUCUUCUCGCUGGUAUCCUGACUUCCCCUCUGGCCACCCCGCAAUACAUUCUCUCCAUGGCAACCAGAGGACACAUUUAAAACUGAAACUAGACAAUGCCACUGAAGGAAACCAAAAUAUUUCUCUCCAACAUAGGAUUUAUGGGUCUUUGUUAAAAUACCAUUCAGGCAAAACUCCUAAGCCACUGCCUUAAGAGAGAAAUACUUUUGAACUGAAGCCUCACCCACAUGAUGGGUAUAGCAUGUGUUAAUAAACUUCAGUUUGUUUUUCUUCUGUUAAUCUGACUUUUGUUUUCAGGAGAGUAUCUCAACUAUGGGCCUAAGAAGAGAAAGAAAAAAAAUUGUGAUUUCUUCCCUAGACCACCAGUGUGUGCCAAAACCUCUGAAGACCCAGUGUCCAGAGUUUGGUUUUCAAUAUUCUUCUCUAAAAAAAUAAACCACUGCUACCUGGAGAAAUGUCUGGUCCUAAGACUGGGCUGGAAAUACAGAAGAUGAGUCUGCGUCAGAGUAAGAAAAUGCUAAAAAGAAAUCAGUGAGGGUGUACCAAAAGGACAGAGGUGCCAACUGAAAGAGCUCCUCAUGGCCCAAACUAGAUAAUCUGAUUAAGGAAUUAAACAAUGUAGUAUUGCAGUAUAACUCAAAGUAUAAAGAAAAUAUCUAUGAUAUCUGUAUCUAUAAUAUCUAUGAGUCUGUACUGAUAUAAAUAGAUGAUUGAAUAAGUAAAUAAAUAAGGAAGAAUAGAUGAAUCUGCCACAGAGACGAGUUCCAAAUAAUUUUUGUAGAUACUCCCUGCAUCAAGGAGGCAGAACAUGACACUUCACCCUAUAAGCUGCAAACAGUGACUUCCUUCUCUAGGGUAGAGUAUGGCAAGGGGAAAAAAGAAUAGGUUCACAGCAGAGAAAUGUGGCAAACACCACCUCAGCCAGGUGAUCAAGGUCCGCAUCAACAGUAAUAAGUUGUGUUAGUAGCAUGCACUCUUAAUAUCAUAUGAGGAGAAGGGCACUUUACCUCUGUGGUCUUCCUCCUAAAACCCGUAAGCCCAGUCAAGAAACCCAUAACUCCAUGAGAAAAACAUCAACCAAAACCAUGUUGAAAAGACAGUCUACAAAACACUUGACCAGCAGUCCUCAAAACUGUCAAGAACACCAAAAACAAGGAAGCUCUGGAAAACUGAGGAAGGAAAUGAGAUUUAGCUCUAGGGGUGGGGCUCGGACACUAGACCAAAUUGAGGACUAGCUAAAACAGGUCAGGGUGGAAGCAGCUUUCUGUAAGAUCCGCCCAUCAGUGUGCCUUGUCAGUUUACCAUGGCCACCUGGAAGUUACUACCCAUUUCCAUGGCAACAACCCAACAACCUGGAAGUUGCCACCCUUUUUCCUAGAAAUUUUUGCAUAAACCACCCCAUUUUCUUUUUUGAGGUGGAGUCUUGUUCUAUCGCCCAGGCUGGAGUGCAAUGGCAUGAUCUUGGCUCACUGCAACCUCUGCCUCCCGGGUUCAAGCUAUCCUCCCACCUCAGCCUCCCAGUAGCUGAGAUUACAGGCAUGCCCAGCUAAUUUUUGUAUUUUUAGUAGAGAUGGGGUUUUGCCAUGUUGCCUAGGCUGGUCUGGAACUCCUGACCUCAAGUAAUCCACUUACCUCAGCUGGGAUUACAGGCAUGAGCCACUGUGCCCUGCCAAACCACUCCAUAAUUUGCAUGUAAUUAAAAGUGGGUAUACAUAUGAGCACAGAGUUGCCUCUGAGCUGCUACUCUGGGUGCACUACCUAUGGGGUAGCCCUGCUCUGCAGAGAGCAUUCCCGCUGCUGCUGCUGCUGUGCACUGCUGCGUCAAUAAAAGUUGCUGUUUAUCACCAUUGGUUCACCCUUGAAUUCUUUCCUGGGUGAAGAACCCUCCCAGGAUAAGCCCCAACUUGGAGGUUUGCCUGCCCUGUAUCAAAACCAUCACUACCAAGAAAAGCCUAAGAAGACAUGACAACUAGAAGUAAUGCAGUGUCUUGGAUGGAACACUGGAGUACAAAGGACAUCAGAUAAAAGGGAAAUCUGAAUCAAGUAUGGACCUUAGUUAAUCAUAAUGUAUCAAUGCUGGCUCCUUAGUUGUGACAAGUGAACCAUCCUAAUGCAACAUGUUAGCAAUAGGGCAGCGGUCCCCAGCCCUUUUGGCACCAGGGACCGGUUUCGGUUUCGUGGAAGACAAUUUUUCCAUGAACUGGGGUGGCAGGGGAUGGUUUCAGGAUGAAACUGUUUCACCUCAGAUUGCCAGGCAUUAGAUUACCAUAAGGAGCAUGCAACUCAGAUCCCUUGAAUGCACAGUUCACAAUAGGGUUCGUUCUCCUAUGAGAAUCCAGUGUUGCUGCUGAUCUGACAAGAGGCAGAGCUCAGGCAGUCAUGCUCACUCGCCCAUCGCUCACCUCUUGCUAUGCGGUCUGGUUCCUAACAGGCCAUGAACCAGUACCAGAACCCCAACAGGGGUUGAGGACCCUUGCAACAGGGGAAACUGGGUGUGGGGUAUGUGCGAUGUAUUAUCCUUGAAACUUUCCUGUACAUUUAAAACUAUUGUAAAAUAAGAUAUUUAUUGUAAAAAUUAAGUAAACAAAAUCUGCUGAAGGCUUCUCAGUGGACUAGGAAUAAAAUUCACCCUUCUUAUCUUGGCUGACAACACCUGUGUAACCUGGUCUCCUAUCCCCUCUCUGGCCACAUUGGCCUUCACUUGGGCUAGGACACAGGGCCUUUGCUCUUGGUGUUCCCUCCCCUAGAGUGCUCUUCCUCUUGUGCCUCUCUCUCUCUCUCAUCUUCCCUCCCUCCCUUUCCCCCACCCCACACUUCCUCCCUCUUGGCCAAGUCCUCCUUAUUGUUCACAUCUCAGCUUAAAUGCCACCUGUUUGGGGAAGCCACCUUGAGAAAUAUCUUAAGUGUACCCCCGCUGUCACUCUCCACCCCAGCAUUACAUUUGAUUCCUGCGCUGAAUCUGUGCCAAUCUCCCAUCAUUUUCUGUAAUUGUUCACCUGUUUAUUUCUCAGCAUCCCUAGCACAAUGGGCUCAGCCAUUCACAACAGUUCCCCUGGCACCUUGCAAGUAGUACUGGUUUAAUGAACAUCUGAUGGAUGAAGGGUGGAACCCAUGCCUGUCAAUUUGACAGGCAGAUGUGCUAGCCUUGUCACUCCCUUUGUGGACCUUGCUGCCUCUGGAAACCUUCCCUGAUGCCCACUUUGCACCCAAGCCUUGGUCUUUCAAUCCUCCAUACUCCCAUUCAUCCCUGUGGUUAAAGCAACGUGAUGCUUCUUAAAUACAGUCCCUGUCCUGGGUGUCAAACAACCUUGAAGCGAUUCUUACUCCAUGAUCGUAGUUACUUAGUUCCACGUACCCAAAAGUGCCUGUCAUUGCAUAAUUAGGAUGCACGAUGGAACAAAAUCAUCCCCAUGUUUUAUACCUCUAUCAUUUCCAACCUAUAUUUUUGUUACAACACCAAAAGUAAUUCAUGUAGCGAGAGGAUGGAGGGAGUACCUGGAGAACAGAGAGGGUGAUUUUCCUUUUGUCUUUCCCCAUGGCAAUAAGGAGGGAGCGCUGGUGACUUAGAGAAGAAAGCUAUUCAUCAUGUCCUCUGGAGAGAGCAGAUUCUCUUGCCCUGGAGCAUCCUACUGAGCUGGGUGCCGCGUUGUUUGUGGAACUUUCCAGAAUGAAUGAAAACCAGUAUGUCUUUGUGCUUAAGGCACAUUUCCAAUUUUCUGUGCUGACUGAGCAAAGAACUUCCUCAUCCUCGUGAAGGAUGCUUUGCAAAGUUAAAGACAACUUUUACUUAUGGAGGGAGCGGGAGACAGAGGGGUAUCCUUUAAUGCGUGCAGAGUUUCAGCCUGGGAUGAUGGAAAAGGAGAUGGAUAAUGACGGUGGUUGCAUGACCAUGUGAAAGUCCUUAU
rnacentral:lncRNA from 1 species